GAUGACUCCCCAGGUGAGACAGCAUUUGAUUGAGAGCUUAAAACAAGAGUUUCACAGAUGAGGAGAAGAAAGAAGCUUUCACUCCAGGCAGGAGGAACAGUGUGAGGUUUCAGAACUGCCAGGAAAGCUGCAGAACAAAGGUCUGAAAACAUAAGAGAAGCCAGGAAAAUGCAAGUCCUUCCUCCUGACCCUAGAAAAUCUCUGCUGCCAAGGCUGGGACUCUGCUGCCAACUUCAGGCCUGAGAAAACCAAGACUCCAGGAGCUCUACCUCUAGGAUUCUUCCAAACAUUUCACCAUGUCCUCUGAUACCUCUGCAGUCAUCUGCCACAACCUACUUCUGAAUGAAUCCUACAUUCCACCUUUCUGUGCCUGUAUCCAAGAAGCCAAAUGUUGAUGGAGAAAACCACAAAGGUAGUUAACUGGUCAGUACUGCCAAAAACAAACAAAAAACCAGGCAAACAAAAACCAACCACAUUUCUUUAGUAGACUCAUGUUGCCCUCCACUACGCAAACAUUUUAUGUCUCGCUCACUCUCUUCAAAUUUAUCAUAGCCCAACUUGACAGUCACUCACUGCUCAUGACCUUGCUUAUACUCUAAGGAAAAAGAAGACAUCACAUCUGAACACAUACAUCUGCCAACCCCGAAACUACCAACUUAAAAACACAUGUACUCAUCCUCUUUCUCCUAUUGCAAUGGGGGGAAUAUCCCCGCUUCCAUUAAAGGGCAGCUGCACACAUCCCUUUUUUUCUUCUCAGAAACUUGGCUUCUUCCAUUUCCCCCAUCAUUAACUUUCCCUAAUCUGUACUGGUAUAUGUAUCACUCAUUUUUAAAAAGGGUAUGUAACACACACACACAUACACACACAUGCACAUUCCCAUAUCCAUUGCCAUCCAGUGGCCCAUUUCUCCACUUCAUAGCCAAAUUUUGGGGGGAAAAACUGUCUACUGAGGCUCUCCCUACUUCAUCUCCCAUGCACCCUCCAAGCCAUCAUGUACCAACCUCUAUCCCAGUCCCACUGAAACCCACUUUGUCAAGGUCAUCAGAGAUCUUCAUGUUGUGAAGCCAAUGGAAACUUCUCUUUAGGCUGAAAUGUUACAUGAAUUGAACAUUUCCCAUCAAUGCAUAAACCAUC